rnacentral:rRNA from 1 species
UACGUAGGGUGCAGGCGUUAAUCGGAAUUACUGGGCGUAAAGCGUGCGCAGGCGGCCCCUUAAGUCAGAUGUGAAAGCCCCGGGCUUAACCUGGGAACUGCGUUUGAAACUGGGGGGCUGGAGUGUGGCAGAGGGGGGUGGAAUUCCAUGUGUAGCAGUGAAAUGCGUAGAGAUAUGGAGGAACACCGAUGGCGAAGGCAGCCCCCUGGGCUAACACUGACGCUCAUGCACGAAAGCGUGGGGAGCAAACAGG